GUUCUCAAUUCGGCAGCAUAUUAAAAUCAGGAUGAUACAGAGAAGAUAAGCAUGGGCCCUGAACAAGAAUGACAUGCAAGUUCAUGAAGGAUGAAGGAUUCCA
ensembl:snRNA U6 U6 spliceosomal RNA